rnacentral:tRNA from 2 species
GGGGAUCUAGCUCAUCGGCAGAGCGCUCGCUUAGCAUGUUUACAACGUGCGAGAGGUGCAGGGUUCGACUCCCUGGUUCUCCA